CCUACGGGUGGCAGCAGUGAGGGAUAUUGGUCAAUGGGGGAAACCCUGAACCAGCAACGCCGCGUGAGGGAAGACGGUUUUCGGAUUGUAAACCUCUGUCCUCUGUGAAGAUAAUGACGGUAGCAGAGGAGGAAGCUCCGGCUACCUACGUGCCAGCAGCCGCGGUAAUACGUAGGGAGCAAGCGUUGUCCGGAUUUACUGGGUGUAAAGGGUGCGUUGGCGGCCUUGCAAGUCAGAAGUGAAAACCAUGGGCUUAACCCGUGAACUGCUUUUGAAACUGUAGUGCUUGAGUGAAGUAGAGGAUAGCGGAAUUCCAGGUGUAGGAGUGAAAUCCGUAGAUAUCUGGAGGAACACCAGUGGCGAAGGCGACUAUCUGGCACAUAACUGACGCUGAGGAGCGAAAGCGUGGGUAGCAAACAGGAUUAGAUACCCCAGUAGUC
rnacentral:rRNA from 1 species